GAGAGAAAAGAAAACUUAAAACCAUUUCUUGGCUGGUUUGAAGAAAUUCUAAGGAGAUCCAAGUGAAAUCAAAGCCAAAGAAGUGGAUUAAGCUUAGUUCUAGCCUUUUUAUGAUAUUUAUUGGUGGUUUCCAAGUGGUUUGAGGUUUAGAAAAGCUUGAAGAGAUUGUUUUCGCCGAAAAGUUGCUCGGAUAAGCACAUCAAUACCUAAGACACCACUUGUUACACGGUGAACUAUAUUUUGGACAAAAAGGUAAGUAAAGUACUCAACUGCAACACAAGAAUUAUGUGUUAUGUGAAAGUAUGCAUUAUAUGAAUAUUUUGUGAGUAAGUGGUAUUAACAUACAGUGACACUUCAUCAUAAAUUUGUAUGCAUGGCAUAAUAGUGAUAUGGUAAAUUAUUAUAUGAUAUAAGACCAUGCAUGAUAUUAUGAUGAUUAAUUAUAUGAUGCCUUUGCAAGUUUUGUGCAACAUAAAAGAAAGUUGUUAUAAGAAGUUUAAGUUCAGUGCCACUGUUUUGAAAAGGCAAAUGAAAGUGUUAAUAAGUGUAAACGGAGGCCUAUAGUAGGCUUAUAGUGGCUGCCCAAUAAUUUGGGCUAGGUUUUAGUGAACCAAUUAUAUUGUUUGCCAUGUUUCCGUUUUUAUUUCUCCUCCAUAUGAGUUAUUGUUAUAUGUAUUGACACCACAGUGUGUGGCCGCCUUAACUCUUGAGCCCGACGGGGCAACGAUGGAAUAAGGUUUUUAAUGUGCCCUACUGUGGUGAUGGCUAGCCGGAGGAGAACCCAUGGGAUUUUAUAUUGUAUGUGUAACAAGCCCUGCAGGCAUUGACCAAUUCAAACAGUGUGCACAAUAUUAAGGGGCCCAAAAUUUAAAAAGAAGUUGUAUAUGUCCAUUGAUAUUGGGUAAUCAUUA